UUUUCAAUAGAUAUUUAUAAUUAAAAAUAAUAUUAAUACAAUUUUAUAGGUGAAAUUGUUAUAUGUGUUGAUUAUAUAAGAUAUGAUAUCUUAAAGAUAUCAAAAUGUUAAUUUGACAUAAAUGAAAUAUGAUUUCUAGUGAAAGUUCAUUUAAAAAAAAAAUCACACAUGAAUAGAAGUUGUGACUUCUAUUUUAAUAGAAUAGAUUGGCUAUAAAUAGAAAAUUUAUGAAAAUAUCAUACAAUUCUUUUAUAAUAAAAGCUUAAUUAACAUUGUUUUAAAUAAUAUUAUACUUUUAAUUGAGAAAAUAACUAAUGCGUUAUUAUAUAAAAAUAUUUAAUUUUUAGUAAGAUUUUGUUAGAUUUUUUGUCAAUAGAUUUUUAUAAUUAAAAAUAAUAUUAAAAUAAUUUUAUUGGUGAAGUUGUUAUAUGUGUUGAUUAUAUAAGAUAUGAUAUCUUAAUGAUACAAAAAUGUUAAUUUGAAAUAAAUGAAAUAUAAAUUUUUUAGUGAAGGUCCAUUUUAGUAAAAAAUCACACAUGAAUAGAAGUUGUGACUUCUAUUUUAAUAGAAUAAAUAUGAGAAAGUGUCUCUAGAGGUAAAAAAACCAAACUUAAAAGAGUGUAAUGAAGUUUUACUUGAUUCCAAAAUGUAAAAAAACUGAAAAUCCUUUUUAGUAAUAAUAUUUUAUAAUUAUAAAAAGAUAUAAAUAAAUAAUAGAGUUGCUUUAGUGAUGAUAUAUAAUUUACUACCAUAUAAUAAUUUUUGUUAUUGUUAACUGCGGUGCGGUGCGGAUCGUAACAUUCAGAACCAUAUAAUUAAUGUUAUAAAACUGUAUAGAUAUAUGGUAUAUGUGAAGAUUUUUGUUACUGUUAACCGUGGUGCGAUGCGGAUCGUAACAUUCAGAACCAUAGACUGUUUUAGGAACAUUGUAUAAUGACUUUUUAUAUAUAGUUAACGAUUUUUUAAAGAGAUUUGAUCUUUAAUCGUCCAGGAUAAUUUUAUUUCUUACCCCAUAUAAAAGAUUUGAUCUUAUUACACUUCUCUAGUUCUCUGAUCUAUAAAAACGUUUACAUUGUCAGAACAUAUAUCUAUUCACCUUACGUCUUUGUAAGUCUACUAGAUUGUCCGGAAAACAAACACACAAGUUUUCACAGUGAUGGGGAAAAUUUCAUUCAAGUCUGCUUUCAUCGUCCUUUUAGCUUUUACUGUGGUGAUAUCCAUAACAGUUCAGAUUGGUGAGGCGAAACGUAUGUUACAAGAAGAAAAGUCUCUGCCGUUAUUGGAUCUUCAAGUUUCCAAGCUGGUUAACCCACAAAUGGUUGGAUUUUGUAAGGAACCUUGCAAACCCUUAUGUUUUCAAUUCAGUUGUCAUUGUGUAUGCCCUGAGCCACCAAAACUAUAAACUAUGAUCAACUAAUCUGAAUAAAAAAUAUUUGUUUUAACA